AGUCUAGGAAUUUUGUUUUAUUUAAUUUUGUUUGGAUUGACUCUAAUGUAUACUUAAGAAACCUUAUAAAGUAUCAACAGUAUCAAAUUCGAAUUUAAUUUCUUUCCA
rnacentral:ribozyme from 10 species